rnacentral:rRNA from 1 species
AACGAACGCUGGCGGCAUGCCUAACACAUGCAAGUCGAACGAGACCUUCGGGUCUAGUGGCGCACGGGUGCGUAACGCGUGGGAACCUGCCCUUAGGUUCGGAAUAACUCCCCGAAAGGGGUGCUAAUACCGGAUAAUGUCUUCGGACCAAAGAUUUAUCGCCUUUGGAUGGGCCCGCGUUGGAUUAGCUAGUUGGUAGGGUAAAAGCCUACCAAGGCGACGAUCCAUAGCUGGUCUGAGAGGAUGAUCAGCCACACUGGGACUGAGACACGGCCCAGACUCCUACGGGAGGCAGCAGUGGGGAAUAUUGGACAAUGGGCGAAAGCCUGAUCCAGCAAUGCCGCGUGAGUGAUGAAGGCCUUAGGGUUGUAAAGCUCUUUUACCCGGGAUGAUAAAGACAGUACCGGGAGAAUAAGCCCCGGCUAACUCCGUG